rnacentral:rRNA from 1 species
AUUGAACGCUGGCGGCAUGCCUUACACAUGCAAGUCGAACGGUAACGCGGGGCAACCUGGCGACGAGUGGCGAACGGGUGAGUAAUGCAUCGGAACGUGCCCAGUAGUGGGGGAUAGCCCGGCGAAAGCCGGAUUAAUACCGCAUACGACCUACGGGUGAAAGGGGGGGAUCGCAAGACCUCUCGCUAUUGGAGCGGCCGAUGUCAGAUUAGGUAGUUGGGGGGGUAAAAGCCUACCAAGCCGACGAUCUGUAGCUGGUCUGAGAGGACGACCAGCCACACUGGGAAUGAGACACGGCGCAGACUCCUACGGGAGGCAGCAGUGGGGAAUUUUGGACAAUGGGGGAAACCCUGAUCCAGCCAUGCCGCGUGCGGGAAGAAGGCCUUCGGGUUGUAAACCGCUUUUGUCAGGGAAGAAACGCUCUGGGCUAAUACCUUGGAGUAAUGACGGUACCUGAAGAAUAAGCACCGGCUAACUACGUGCCAGCCGCCGCGGUAAAAC